AGGGAUGUAGCUCAGUUGGGAGAGCACCAGACUGAAGUGUAUGAAGCUACUCUUGUUUUCUGGAGGUCCCCAGUUCAAUUCUGGGUGUCCCCA